UGUAGGUGUUAAGCUAUGGCUUCAC
rnacentral:piRNA from 1 species